rnacentral:rRNA from 1 species
CUACGGAGGGUGCGAGCGUUAAUCGGAAUUACUGGGCGUAAAGCGUACGUAGGCGGUUGGUUAAGUUAGAUGUGAAAGCCCCGGGCUUAACCUGGGAACUGCAUUUAAAACUGACGAACUAGAGUUGAGUAGAGGGGAGUGGAAUUUCAGGUGUAGCGGUGAAAUGCGUAGAGAUCUGAAGGAACACCAGUGGCGAAGGCGACUCCCUGGACUCGAACUGACGCUGAGGUACGAAAGCGUGGGUAGCAAACGGGAUUAGAAACCCUAGUAGUCC